rnacentral:rRNA from 1 species
AGAGUUUGAUCAUGGCUCAGGAUGAACGCUGGCGGCGUGCUUAACACAUGCAAGUCGAACGGACCGGAGGCCUUCGGACCUCUGGUUAGUGGCGGACGGGUGAGUAACGCGUGAGGAACCUGCCUUGGAGUGGGGAAUAACGGUUGGAAACGACCGCUAAUACCGCAUAAUGCAACGGGGGCGCAUGCUCCGGUUGCCAAAGAUUUAUCGCUCUGAGAUGGCCUCGCGUCUGAUUAGCUAGUUGGUGGGGCAACGGCCCACCAAGGCGACGAUCAGUAGCCGGACUGAGAGGUUGGCCGGCCACAUUGGGACUGAGACACGGCCCAGACUCCUACGGGAGGCAGCAGUGGGGAAUAUUGGGCAAUGGGCGCAAGCCUGACCCAGCAACGCCGCGUGAAGGAAGAAGGCUUUCGGGUUGUAAACUUCUUUUAACAGGGACGAUGAUGACGGUACCUGUUGAAUAAGCUCCGGCUAACUACGUGCCAGCAGCCGCGGUAAUACGUAGGGAGCAAGCGUUAUCCGGAUUUACUGGGUGUAAAGGGCGUGUAGGCGGGACUGCAAGUCAGAUGUGAAAACUCAGGGCUCAACCCUGAGCCUGCAUUUGAAACUGUAGUUCUUGAGUACUGGAGAGGUUGACGGAACUCCUAGUGUAGCGGUGAAAUGCGUAGAUAUUAGGAAGAACACCAGUGGCGAAGGCGGUCAACUGGACAGCAACUGACGCUGAGGCGCGAAAGCGUGGGUAGCAAACAGGAUUAGAUACCCUGGUAGUCCACGCAGUAAACGAUGGAUACUAGGUGUGC